GACAGAGGGUGCAAACGUUGUUCGGAAUUACUGGGCGUAAAGCGUGCGCAGGCGGUUUUGUAAGUUAGAGGUGAAAGCCCGGGGCUCAACUCCGGAAUUGCCUUUAAGACUGCAUCGCUAGAAUUGUGGAGAGGUAAGUGGAAUUCCGAGUGUAGAGGUGAAAUUCGUAGAUAUUCGGAAGAACACCAGUGGCGAAGGCGACUUACUGGACACAUAUUGACGCUGAGGUGCGAAAGCGUGGGGAGCAAACAGG
rnacentral:rRNA from 1 species